rnacentral:rRNA from 1 species
CCUACGGGUGGCAGCAGUGAGGAAUAUUGGUCAAUGGGCGCGAGCCUGAACCAGCCAAGCAGCGUGAAGGAUGAAUGCCCUACGGGUUGUAAACUUCUUUUGUAAAGGAAUAAAGUGAGGCACGCGUGCCUUUUUGUCUGUACUUUAUGAAUAAGGAUCGGCUAACUCCGUGCCAGCAGCCGCGGUAAUACGGAGGAUCCGAGCGUUAUCCGGAUUUAUUGGGUUUAAAGGGAGCGUAGGUGGGUUGUUAAGUCAGUGGUGAAAGCUUGCGGCUCAACCGUAGAAUUGCAAUUGAUACUGGCAGUCUUGAGUACAGUUGAGGUAGGCGGAAUGCGUGGUGUAGCGGUGAAAUGCUUAGAUAUCACGAAGAACUCCGAUUGCGAAGGCAGCUUACUAGACUGCCACUGACGUUGAUGCUCGAAAGUGUGGGUAUCAAACAGGAUUAGAUACCCGAGUAGUC